rnacentral:tRNA from 1 species
CCUUCGAUAGCUCAGUUGGUAGAGCGGUGGACUGUAGUUGGAAAAACGUGCAAUAGAUAUCCAUAGGUCGCUGGUUCAAAUCCGGCUCGAAGGA